rnacentral:other from 1 species
UUUGACUUGUCGUCUGGACCAUCACUUUGGACAAGGAUAGUAAUACAAUGUGUGGAUAUCACACUAGGAGGCAACAAUAAUGGAACAAGGUACAGUAAAAUGGUUUAACGCAGAAAAAGGAUUUGGAUUUAUCGAACGCGAAAACGGAGAUGACGUAUUCGUACACUUCUCAGCAAUCCAAAGUGAAGGAUUCAAAUCUUUAGACGAAGGUCAAAAAGUUACUUUUGACGUUGAGCAAGGCGCACGUGGCGCUCAAGCUGCUAACGUUCAAAAAGCUUAAUUUGAACUAGCUGUAGAAAAAACCGAUUCUCUUUUGAGAGUCGGUUUUUU